AUUUGUGGCCAUGCCUGCUUGGCUAUGACGAUCUUGUCAGAUCUUAAAAGCUAAGCAAGGUUAGGGCCUGUUUAGUAAUUGGAUGGGAGACCGCAGAGAAGAUCAGGUGACACAGUGG
rnacentral:rRNA from 1 species